UCUUCCUCUUUUGGAAGUCAGAGGGCAAAGUGCAGUCACAGAGACAACACUGAGCCUAAGGCUGAGAGACAGAGUGGCCAAGGAGGCUUGGGACUGGUGGAUGAGAGGGGAGGCCCGCAGGGGCACAGGUGCUGAGGACCAUGGCAGAGGCCGUCACCUAUGCAGACCUGCGGUUUGUGAAGGCUCCCCUGAAGAAAAGCCUCUCCUGCGGGCUAGGACCUGAGGCAGAGGCCUACGAGGACGGAGACGCCUAUGGGGAACUCACUUACGAGAAUGUACAAGUGCCUUCAGCUCCAGGCGGGGCGAGCGGGGCUCCGUCUGGGGUGGGGGACCAAGCAGGGGUCCACUCGGAGCCGACCGCCGCGUCGUGGAGCCCCGUGACGUCGCCGGGUGUGCCGUGGACUCUCCCCUGCCCCGCCACCUGCUUGCAAUACGUUCUGCUCGGGCUCCUCCUCACCUGCCUACUCUUAGCGGUGGCCACUAUCUGCCUGGGAGUGCGCUAUCUACAGGCUUCUCAGCAGCUCCAGCACACGAAGAGGGUUCUGGAAGCCACCAACAGCAGCCAGUGGCAGCAGCUCCGCCAGAAAUUAACUCAGCUGGGGCAGAAGGAAGGGGACCUGCAGGAGUCCAGGAAAGCACUGGCUCAGAGUCAGGAAGAGCUCCAGGAGGAGCGGAGGCUUCACCUGGCUGCCCAGGAGCAGCUCCGCACCUGCCAGGUGGACGGGGAGAAGACCAAGGAGACCUUGCGAGGGGAGGAGAAGCAGAGGGAGGCCUUGGAGAGGAGGCUGAGCACCACCAAGGACGCGCUGCGGCGCUUCUUCACGUGCCCUUCGGAAGACACCUGCUGUCCGAUGGGAUGGACCCUGCACGAGAGACGCUGCUUUUACUUUUCAGCUACUAAGAAAACCUGGGAGGAGAGUAAAAAUCAUUGUACAUCUCUGUCAUCCACAUUGGCCACCUUCGGUCUGACUUAUUAUUAUGUAAGCACACCCUUCUCCACAGGAGGCUCCCCAGCAGCUACAGUAAGUUGUUGUCAGGCAGUGUCUCAGAGUCAUAUUGGAUCGGCCUUCACUCUCAGAAGGCCCGGCAGAGUUGGUCUGAGGAUUUAAAGUCUAGGUACUAUUAUCAGUCCUCAGACUGUGUCAUCUUACAAAAAGAAUGGCUACGGUUAUGGCAAUCAGACAAAUGUGCAACUCAUCUUCCAUGGAUCUGUGAACUGGCAGCUUUUAGGUUCCCAGAUGGGUACUCUUUGCAUUGAGCUGGCAUUCUCAGACCUCCUUCAUCUCUGCAUGACCCAGCCAAGUGCUAACCCACCCCCAACACUUCCAGCCAGCCUGUGGCCUGCCUGAAACCCUGUCUCAGAACUUGGACUGUGCUUGGGAAGAGGGUGAAGAAACCUCUGGAAAAAGACUUUGGCCUCCCUCAGGAACUCCCACAGAAGAGGGUGGGGAGGAGGGUGCAUGGGUUGAGUAGAUGGGGCGGCCCGGAGCCAGCCAGGCAGUUUUAUUGAAAUAUUUUAAAUAAUU